rnacentral:lncRNA from 1 species
AAAUAAGGAACUAAGACUAAUUCUCAUGUGACUUGUAGCUCUAAGUCUUAUGAAAUAGGUGAACGCAGGCCCAAGAAGGGUUAAAGAACAAGUGCUCAUCUCAAAACUGAAACUAUUGAUAGCCCCUUGUUGGAGAGAGGAAGUCACUGGUUGGCAUGAAUAAUUCUUCUGGGAAAGUCCUGAGCCAGAUUGGGGUAUGACCUCUUCUUGGCUAGAUGACACGGGAAGAAAAAAAAAAGCCCCAAACAAAAUAAACCACAAGGAAUUGAAAUCCCUCCCCAAGAGACAUCUCUGGGAGAAGAUAAUCAGUGUGAUCAAGGAAGGCUUCAUCAGUUCCAGAAGGAAAUCUUCAGAGACUUUCUUGCUGCCAUACAUGAGGGACAAAAGAAGACCAGGCUUGAAGGUCCAGACCUCCGUUGAUGUCCCGCAGGACGGGACAUUUGGCGCCCAACGUGGGGCCCGAGACCCCCUUAAAAGGAGUAAAGGUUUUUGGUGUGUGCUCCUGUGGAAAAAACGACUGCAGUCACGAUACAUGAGAAUUGGUCGCCGCGGAUUUGCCUGAUCUGCGGAAUAAAGACCUGAGGAAAUGCUUGGAAAACGAUCACCCCUACGCUGGUGCCUCCUGGCUGUCCUGAGGGUCUGCCUUGCUGGUUUUGACGCCCCGGCCGGCAACGAUCUCCUCGCCUCCCUUUUUGGGCCACCCUGUGACUGCCGUGGAGGGUAUAUACGGGUAACACCGCAGCAGUUUUCUUACUCCAACGACUGCAAUGAAUACACCGCCUAUCUCACCUAUUGACCAUCCACCGGUGGGGGAUUUAAGCAACGGUGGGAGUGUGUUGCCAAACCCCGAGUCAUUCCCUCUCUGCCUGGGUCCCCUGGUCCCUGCCCCUCCCCCUGUCGCUACUAUCAAGCCAUUCAUUCCCUUUGCUAUAACAGCGUCCAGCAGUGUUCUUCUAAUAAUAAGGUUUAUUUGACGGCAGUUCUACAGCAAGCCUAUGCAGGAACCUUUGGUGGGGAAACCUCCGCCACUCUCCAGGGACAUACUAACAAAUAUGCCCAGGCGUCUUGUUCGUCUGCCGAUGUUGGCCACGAUGUCUGUUGGCCCGAACGUGCACCCCUACAUGUAUCAGACGGAGGGGGCCCUUCUGACAGAGCCAGAGAACAUGAGGUCCAGCAGCACAUUGAGGAACUCAUUCGGGCCCAAUUCCCCUCCCUCCAUUAUCAUCCUCUUGCGCGUCCCCGGCCUCACAGAUUGAGUCUCGAUAGUCAGACGUCUGUUA